CAUCUUGGACUUCUUCUGACAUUUUGAGGUCUUUUUCUUUUGCUUGAUUUUCCUCUUUGCUCACUGUUUCAUCCUCAUUCAAUUCAGAUUCAACCUUCUCUAAUCCUGUCACUUCAUGGACUUCCUUAACCAGGGAGCUUUCAGACUUUUCUGUUUGACCAUCAUCAUUGACUACAUCCUCCUUUUUUUCUAUGGUUUCGACACUAGAUUUGAUUUCUUCAGUGUCUUCCUCUAUACUUUCUCUAGUUUCAAAAAACUCAGGUUCUUUACCUUCUUCUUGGUAGUUCUUUUUUUGCAAGUCUUCUUCUAAUGCUGCAACCUGUGAGGUUGUUACAUUGUCCUCACCUUGACCUUCUGCCGACAUGUUGACCUGAUCCUUUUCUUGAUCUUCAUCUUUAAAAGUUUCUAUUGCUUUUAUCCCUUCUUCAGAUUCAACCUUUUCCGAACUAGUCUCAUCACAUACCUCUUUGACAGAGUGGAUAGGAGGCGUUUCCAUUUGAUCAUCAUCAUGCUCAAUAGGCUCUUUGUUUUUUUCUUCAGUUUCUGUUUUCUCUUCUUGAGAUUCCACUUGUGCUGAUGUGAAAACAUCAGUUGUGAUGGCAUGUGGCAACUCUCCUUGCUCCACUUUUUCUUUUGUUUUAACAUUUGUGCUUAUAAGUUCAUUAUCUUCCUCCAUGCUUUCUCUAGUUUCAAAAAAUACAUCCUCAGAGGCUGCAACUGUAUCCUGUGAGCAUAUAACUUCAUCCUCACUUUGGUCUUUUUCUGGUAUGUUGAGCUCUUGUUCCUUUUCUUGAUAUUCAUCUUUGCUUAAAAUUUCUAUUUCUUUCUCAUUCUGAUACAUAUCGGAAUUUAUCCCUUCUUCAGAUACAGUCUUCUUUAAGUCAGUCUCUUCACAUACUUCCUGUUGCUCCUUUUCAUCUGUUUCAACACUUGGUUUGAUUUCUUCAGUAUACAUCUCUUGCUCAAAAAUUAUGCUGGCACUUUCUUCUAUUUUAUCUUUUGCUCCAUUAUCAUCAUACUGCUCGCUUGCCUAUAUGAAGAGUGUAUUUUGAGUACAUGGGCAGAAUGGACAAUACAGAACUUGGUAAGUCUAAUGUAUAGUCAAAGUUUGUAAAACAAUCUGUGUAACAGCUUAGUUUAUUGGUCUCUUUUUCAAAAGAAAAUUAUGAGCAGCAUUUGCUCUAAAGUCUAAACUACUUUAUAAAACGGGUUUCCCUUAGAAUUUAUCAUUUUCAUAAAUAUCCACAACUUGCUUUUCUUCUAGUUCUAUACCCCUCCCCAAUUGUACUGUUCAAUUGAAUAAAUCAAGUUCUGUAUUUGAAGUUACACUUAAUAUGCUCUAUAAAAUAUGUAUUUUAUCUUGUUUAGGGCCCUUAAAAUGGUCUAAUAUAUAUAUAUNNNNNNNNNNNNNNNNNNNUAUAUAUAUAUAUAUAUAUAUAUAUAUUUGUAAGAGAUACUUGAACUACCGAGUUGAACAACUUAUGCAUUUGUUACUUUCUCAAACACAUGAGAUGAGAAAUUUUGUAGCAGACAACAUAAUGUCUUGAUAAUUUUAGCAUUGCAAGUUUAGUUGGAAUGAUGUACAAGUAAAACCUUUUGAAAUAAUUAGAGAUUACUUAAGAUGAACAUAAAUUACCUCUUGAGCAUGAAUUGAUUUGUCUUCUAUUUCUUCCUUGAGGAUCUCUUUGGUCAAUGCACUAUCAUCUUUGCUCUCCUCAAAAUCAACCACUGUGGUAACAUGUUGACCAAUUGUUGACUCUUGUAUAUCCUCACACGUUGCAUCUUCUGAACUUGUAACGGCAUCCCCACCACCUUGGACUUCUUCUGGCAUUUUGAGUUCAUGUUCCUUUUCUUGAUUUUCCUCUUUGCUCACUAUCUCAUUCUCAUUCAAUUCAGGUUUAGCCUUCUCUGAUCCUGUCACUUCACACACCUCCUUAACCAAUGGGCUUUCAAACUCAUCAUUGACUAUAGCAUCUUCCUCAAUCUUUUCUUCAUUUUCCAUAGUUUCUUUUUUAGGUUCUAUUUCUGUUGAGCUGCAAACAUCAGUAGUAAUGACAUGCAGCAACCCUUGUUGCUCCAUAUUUUCUUUUGUUUCUAUACUAGAUUCGAUUUCUUCAAUGUUUUCCUCUACACUUUCUCUCGUUUCAACAACUUCAGGUUCUUUACCUUCUUCUUGGUAGUUCUUUUCUUGCAAGUCUUCUUCUAAGGCUGCAACCUGUGAGCUUGUUACAUUAUCCUCGCCUUGACCUUCUGUUGACAUGUCAACCUGAUCCUUUUCUUGUUCUUCAUCCUUGAAAGUUUCAAUAGCUUUUACCUCUUGUUCAGAUUCAACCUUUUUUGAGCUAGUCUCAUCGCAUACCUCCUUGGUAGUCUCUUCAUAAACCUCCUUCAUAGACUCUUCAUUCUUUUGUUCAGUUUCCGUGGUCUCUUCUUGAGAUUCUGUUUGUGCUGAUAUGCAAGCUACCUCUUGAGCAUCACUUGGUUUUUCCUCUGUUUCUUCCAUAAGGAUCUCUUUAGGCAUUAAACCUAUCGCUUGUCCCUCCUCUAAAUAGGCCACUGUAGUGUCCUGUUGACCAACUGUUGUUUCUUUUAUAUCCUCACACGUUGCAUCUUUUGAACUUGUAGUUGUAACAUCAUCCCCUAAACCUUUUCCUGACACAUAAACCUCUUGUUCCUUUUCUUCAUCUUCAACUUUGUUCACUAUUUCUUUCUCAUUUGUUGUUUCUUUUACCUCUUCGCUAUAUUCAACUUUCUCUGAACUGGUCUCUUCACAUACUUCAUUGACUGGGGAGCUGUCAACAUUUUCCUUUUGACCAUUAUCACUCUGAAUAGGCUCGUCACUUUUUACUUCAUGUUCUUCACUUUCUACCUGAGAUUUUGUUUGUGAUGUGAUGCAAUCAUCAUGCAACAGUUCUUGCUGCUUGGUUUCAACACUUGGUUUGAUUUCUUUAGUAUCUUCCUCUUGCUCAAUCUCUGAACAAGAUUGAACAGUUUUGUUGUCGCUUUCAUCAGGCUUUUGUUCUGUUUUGUCCUAUUAGAGAAAAAGUAUUCAGUUAGAUAUGAUGAUUUAUAUAAAUAGGCUCAAAGUUUUUAAAAACAAUCUCUGUGGUAGGUUUUUUUCAUUGUUCUUUUUUAAGAUAAUUGUGAGUGACAGUUGUUCUUUAUAACAUUAACAUGAUUCUACAUUGCUUAGUAAUAAAACAUUAAAAGUUUUAGUAGGAAAGAUAUACAAGUAAAACCUUUUGGAUUGUUCAGAGUUAACAUGGGAUGAACACGAAUUACCUCUUGAGCAUCAAUUGCACUCUGAUUCGGCUCCUCGAACUCGAUAUCAGCCACUGGGGUAGCCUUUUGACCAAUUAUUGUUUCUUUUAUAUCCUCGCUGGAUGCAUUCUGUGAGCUUGUAACAUCAUCUCCACCACCUUGGACUUCUUUUGACAUUUUAAUCUCUUGUUCCUUUUCUUGAUUUUCCUCAUUGUUCACUAUUUCAUUCUCAUUCAAUUCAGAUUCAGCCUUCUCUGAGCUUGUUGCUUCACAUACUUCCUUCACCAAGGGGCUUUCAGACUUAUCUGUUUGACCAUCAUCAUUCACCAAUGCCUCUUCAUCAAUCUUUAUAUCAUCUUUUGUUUCGGCACUAGAUUUGAUUUCUUCAGUAUCUUCCUCUAAAUACUCUCUAGGUUUGACAAAUUCGGGUUCCUUACCUUCAUCAUCAUAUUUUGUUUCUGGUAAGUCCUGUAUAGAAGUUGCAUCUUGUGAGAAAGUGACAUCAUCUUUUCCUUGGUCUUCUUCUGAAAUGAUGGACUCUUGUUCUUGUUCUUGUUCUUUUUCUUUUUCUUGAUGUUCAUCUUUGUCAGAAGGUUCUACCCCUUCAAAUUUACCCUUCUCUAAGUGAGUUUCUUCACAUACUUCAGUCACAUCUUCAUCGUCUGUAAUCUUUACCUGCUCCUUUUCAUCUGUUUCCACACUUGGCUUGAUUUCUUCAGCAUUUUCAUUUUUGUUGACACUUUCCUCGGGCUUUUGUUCUAUUUUUUCAUUUGCUCCACUCUCAUCCUGCUCACUUGCCUAUAUGAACACAAGUAUUUUGAGUACAUGUGGAGAAUAAAAGUAACACAUCAUGAUAAGUCUAAUGCAUAGUCAAACUUUUAAAACAAUCUUUGUGGCAGCUUCAAAAAAAUUUGUGAGCCAAAUUUGCUAUAAACUACUUUAUAGAAUGGUUUUCUCUAAACAUUUAUCGUUUUAUGAACUCUAACUCUUCUCAACAAAUGAAACUAAACGUUUGGAUGAGACAAGCAUUUGACAUUAAAAUUAUGUAUGAAAAUCAUAAUAUUGUCUUAUACUUUUAUAAAUUAAACAUAAAACUAGUAAGAAUUAGCCUUAACAUUUAACAAUACAUUAGUAUAAUAUGUGAUUUUUAGUUUCUCUUACACAUGAGAUAAGAAAAUAUGUAGCAGACAACAACAUUUCCAUAUGUCAUAAUGAUUAUAGCAUUUCAAAUUCUAGUAAGACUGAUCUACAAUUAAAACUGUAAAACCUUUUAGGAAUAGUUAGGUUUACUUAGAAUGAACAUGAAUUACCUCUUGCACAUCAGUUGAUUUGUCCUCUGCUUCUUCCUUAAGGAUCUCCUUAGGCGUUGAGUUUAGAGCCUGUUCCUCCUCUAAAUAGGCCACUGUAGUAACAUGCUCACCAGUUGUUGUUUCUUUUAUAUCCUCAAAUGUUGCAUCUUGUGAACUUGUAACAUCAUCCCCUAAACCUUUUCCUGACACAUAAACCUCUUGUUCCUUUUCUUCAUCUUCAACUUUGCUUGCUAUUUCGUUUUCAUUCAGAUCGAUAUUAACACUGUCAGAAAGUUUUAACCCUUCUUCAGAUUCAACCUUCUCUGAGACAGUCUCUUCACAUACUUCCUUCACCAUGGUCUCUGUAUUAGAACUAUCAGAGUAGUUCACCUCUUCUUUAUAUUCAAUUUUCUCUGAACUAGCCUCUUCACAUACUUCAACACUUGGUUUGGUUUCUUCAGUAUCUUUCUCUUGCUCAAUUUCUGAACCAGACUGUACAAUUUUGUUGUCACUUUCUGCAGACUUUUGUUCUUUUUUGUCCUAUUAGAGAAGAAAUAUUCAGUAUAUUAUACGACUGAAAGAAAAGAAAUGAUGAUUUAUAUAAACAGGCUUAAAGUUUUUAAAAACAAUCUUAAGGGUAGGUUUUUUUCAUUGUUAUUCUAUAAAAUAAAUGUGAGCGACAGUUGUACUUUAUAACAUGAAUCUACAUUGGUUAGUGAUAAAAAAAAGCAUUUCAAGUUUUAGUUGGAAUGAUGUACAAGUAAAACCUUUUGGAUUGUUUAGGAGUUAACAUGGUAUGAACAUGAUUUACCUCUUGAACAUCAAUCACACUCUGAUUCUGCUCCUCGAACUCGAUAUUAGCCACUGGGGUAGCCUGUUGACCAAUUGUUGUUUCUUUUAUAUCCUCACUGGAUGCAUUCUGUGAUCUUGUAACAUCAUCUCCACCACCUUGGACUUCUUCUGACAUUUUAAGCUCUUGUUCCUUUUCUUGAUUUUCCUCUUUGCUCACUAUUUCGUUCUCAUUCAAUUCAGAUUCAGCCUUCUCUGAGGUUGUCGCAUCAUAUACUUCCUUCACCAAGGGGCUUUCAGACUUCUUUGUUUGAUCAUCAUCAUUCACUAAUGCCUCUUCAUCAAUCUUUAUAUCAUCUUUUGUAUCAGCACUAGAUUUGAUUUCUUGAGUAUCUUCGUCUAUAUUCUCUCUAGGUUUGACAAAUACAGGUAAGUUCUCUAUAGUGGUUGCAUCUUGUGAGCAUGUGAUAUCAUCUUUUCCUUGGUCUUCUUCUGAAAUGAUGGACUCUUGUUCUUUUUCUUUUUCUUGAUCUUUAUCAUUGUCAGAAGGUUCUACCCCUUCAAAAUUUCCCUUCUCUAAUUGAGUUUCUGCACAUACUUCAAUCACAUCUUCUUCAUAGUCUGUAAUCUUCACUUGUUCCUUUUCAUCUAUUUCCACACUUGGCUUGAUUUCUUCGGUAUCUUCAAUUUUGUUGACAAUUUCCUCGGGAUUUUGUUCUAUUUUUUCGUUUGCUCCACUCUC
rnacentral:lncRNA from 1 species